UGGAGAAUACCGCCGGAGAUGGAGGUCGCACAGAGAAUCGCCUCAGAGAGAAAAAAACCCUAGCUUUUACGGAGAUGAGAGAAAUGAAUCAAGACGCCGAGACCCUUCUUUCUCUCUCGCCAACGCGGAAAGGAGAAGCCACUGAGAGGAGGACACGUGGCGUGAACCCGCCCCUUACGAGUUCAACCGUAAGGCCCGGUUCGGCGAAACAAACCCUUUUUUAUGUGUUUUUAAUCAAUUAGGCCUAUGAACUCGAGCCCGUGAACCCCGCAUGAUACCUCAAUGCGCAUGGUCUAAUACUCAAAGUAAAUGUUAUCAUUUUUUGAUUAAGUUAAAAAAAAGAAGUAAAUGUUAUCAUUCAUCAAGAAUAGUGUUUGUUUAUAAAAUAUCAAAUAAGAGUAUCUAUAAUUAAAUUUUGACAAACAAAAUAGUAUAUAGUAAUACUAGACUGUGAUAAAAUUAUAUAAAGAAAUAUGUAUAUAUGUUAUUAUAUUAUAUAUUAUAUAUUUUUACAAUUAUUGAAUAUUUUCUAAUUAAAAACAAUACCGCCCCAAUAGUAAGGUGUAUAUAUUCCUUCUUUACAAAACAUUAAUAAAUUAAUAAAAAGUUGGAAUUUUACGUCUCAUUGGCCUCACACUUGUUCCGGAAUUUUAUCCUAGCCUAUGCCUAGCCUCCUUGUUUGUUUAUAGUUUCAGACUCCCCACUUAUGAUUCACGAACCCAUUGUUGACAAUAGAAUUAAAAUAGAAUAAACCCUAAUGAAAUACUAGACGUAGAAUUGAAUGUCGACAAAACCCACUGUCGACAGUAAACUUAAAAAGUCAUAAGUCCCUGAUUAAAUACUAUACAGAGGAUUUCAUGCAUUUCGAGAAAAGGAAAAAAAAUUAGAAUUUCAUUUUAAUUAUCUCCUGAUUAAAUCAAUUUUAAUACCAUAGUAGUACCUUUAAAAAAUAUAUCAUAGUAUAUACUUGUAACUAAAUAUUUUCAAGAAUAGUAUAUAUAUCAUGCAUAGUCCAAAAACGAUAGAUAUGUAUUGAAGUUUAUAGGAGAAAGGAAUCCAAGUACUAAAUAUUUUCAAGAAUACUGCUGACUAUAAUGAGGAUAAAUUAUUUUUUUCAGAAAGGGUUUACUUGAAUGAGGAGAAUUGAUUACUAAGAUAUCAUUAGUAUAAGAUUAAGUGUUAUUUAAACAAUAAUAAUUUCCAAUUCGAAAGUGUUUCGUUUUAAAUGUCCUAAAACCAGAGUCAACUAGCUAGGGAAUCGAUCCAUAUGGCUGGAAACAUGUAAAUCGCACUAUGAAAGCGUCGAUUAAAAAUUAAGUACGGUACUAUAAAAUGUAUAUAUUUAAAUUUUGAUUCUCUUCUGAAUAACUUAUAAAUCCAGUCAUGCAAAACAAGAAAAGUGUGCCUAUGCGUCAAUUCCCAUAUUCUUUUUUUUUUUUUUUCCCAAAUUGAAAUUUCAAUCAUAGUUAAAAUACCAAAUUCAUACAAACUCAUUGGCCCAAACAAACCGGACCUUAAGCCCACAACCAGACACCCUAGAUCAGGAAACCCUAAAACCCGCAGCACACCCACCGACAGCGGCGCUGCCCAAACCCCAACUCACCACCGCACUAGCGUCAAUUCCCAUAUUCUCACUUAAGAUUAAAAUUUGUUAUAUUAAAUCAUACAUUUGUUCGAUGCUCACUAGUCUUCACUUAGGUAUGCAUACAAUAUUUAAACCUGACUUUUAAUCUCCGAUAGAAAUAGACCAACUAUUACUUGGCAUAGUUUGUGUGUUUAAUUUAUUGCUUCAUUUCAUUUUUUUAUCUCAAAACAAUAUGAAAUAUACUUAAGUUUAGCGAUUAAAUUUAGUACUUCACGUACAACUAAAUUAUUAUUGCCUAAAAUACUAUAUAUAAUCUACCAAAAUAGUAGAUAAAUAAAUAUUUACAAAUGUUACCUUGAUAUUUAACAAUAAAAAAGCAUCACCAUCUUCUUAGCGAAUCCUUGAUGCUAAUAUAUGCCUGUAGCAUAAGUUUGUCUGUUUUGGCUUCUGCACAAAGAUGAACAUGGCAGAUCCUCAUGUUGAAAAUUAAAGAUGAAUAAUACUAAUAAAAGAAGAAAGCUCAAGUUUGUUUACGAAAUUUGGGUGUCGAGUGUUGACGUAGUGACCAAACAAAUAAGGUUUACAAUAGUGCGAUCCAAUUAAUAUCUUCAUUUCUUUAACAAAAAAAAAAUUAAUAUCUUCAUAAUCGAAGUUACCGGUUUGCGGAUUGUGAUAUGUUAAAAAGGUUUUUCGGGAGCUUAAUGUUGUCUUAGGAUUCACAGUAAAUGCUCACAUAUUUGUACAAUCAUAUUUUACACUAAACUCGAAGGAGAAUUUACUUCACACAGGAUAUUUUUCAAUUACAAUGUACAUCACCAAUGAAUUAAUUUUU
rnacentral:lncRNA from 1 species